UACGGAGGGUGCGAGCGUUGUCCGGAAUCACUGGGCGUAAAGGGCGCGUAGGUGGCGACUCAAGUCAACGGUGAAAGCUCGACGCUCAACGUCGAGUCGGCCGUCGAAACUGGGACGCUUGAGCACUGUAGAGGCAGAUGGAAUUCCGGGUGUAGCGGUGGAAUGCGCAGAGUAUCAGGAGGAACACCGGUGGCGAAGGCGGGGUCUCUGGGCCGUAACUGACGCUGAGGAGCGAAAGCGUGGGGAGCGAACAGG
rnacentral:rRNA from 1 species